AUGAGUCAGAGGUUUAAGCCUUGUUUGCCUUCUCCAUGGGCACAAAAUGCCUAUCGGGCAAGAAACUUCUUGGGGAGGUGGCAGGAUUCUCUGCACCUUCUGCUAGAGCUGGAGCCCUUGAAGAUGUCCUCACUAGAGAGAGAAGAGCAGCAGGCAGGAGGGGCCCCAGCAGAGCCACAAGCUGAGAUCAAAGGUGAUAUUUUUACAGCAACUGAAAUAGAAAACCACUGGACACACAGUGGGAGCUAUUCCCUGAGGAAAAGGCCUUGA
rnacentral:lncRNA from 1 species